UGAGUUUCACAGCAUGCACUUUCAUGUGGUAAAAGAGUUCAGUCUGUGUAAGUGGAGGUGAAUCACUUCUUAGCCAGUAUUUCCUGAACACAGCAAUCCCUGAUCUUAAUAAUGAGACUCUUUGGCCUUUCUUGGCUUUUUCUCCUGUGGCUGAAUCCAAAUGCAUCUUUACAGCAGAACGUGCAGUGCUUUGCACAUUCACUCAGCUCUCCAGGGAGGAGACACGAAUCCUUUUUGGAGUCGUGUCAGAAAUGGCAUUUGUUUAAGAAUAGUUUUAUGCAAAAUGAAAGACAUCAUCACAUCGUACAGCUCACAAAGACGCCGACCUCCAUGGAGAAAAAGGCUGGAAGCCAAACUCAUGAAAACCUGGAAGGAUUUUAGUCAUUUAACAUCUUCCGGUUGAGUGAACGCUGGCGCGACUUGCUGCCUCUACUCACCGCUAACUCUGUCGUUACCGGAUUCCUGUCCUGUUCUUGUCUCUGAGGCCCACCGGUGUCUUUGUUUCU